rnacentral:lncRNA from 1 species
AUGACUUCUUAUUCAAGAAGCUCUUGAAUAAUUCUCCCAAAAUAUCGAGUACACCCAAUCAACUUGAUAAUUCGAGAGUUAGCACGAUGAUGGUAUAGGUCAACAAAGUAAGUAGACUCUAGGGGAAAGAGGCCUCAUGCUUAUAAAUUGUUGCUCGUUCACGAUAUGUCCCUAGCUAAUUAAUAAUGCAACUCAAAGUCUGUGUACCAUGUUGUACCAUGGUGCUAUUAUAGAUUGAAAGGAUGCUAUCUAGUUCCACAGUGUUGAAACUGCGACUAAUGUGAUUAUAAGGUGCAUCAACUUGACAUAACUGCGUGACUUUCAUCCCUCCCCUUUCUAUUUCCUGCCGCUAAAAGUUUACUUUAUACAUUGUUUUUCAAUAUAAAACUACACCAUCACAUUUAUCUUAUUUCUAACAAUCUUUAAUUUUACAGAACGAUUCUCUCCUCGAUGGAUUCCAAGAAUACGAUACUAUUUUCGCAGUUGGGGAAAAUGAAAAUCACUCUUUCGCCAACUGGACUGAUAUAAUCAUUAUCAAUCACGAUUAUUAUCACAGAUAACUGGAUAUUCACAAAUCAAUAAUCAAACAUACAGUCAUGACGCGACACUGAUUUUCCAAUCCGUGCUAACGAAUCACGUUGUCCCACUUUUCAUGGUUAAAAGUCUAUUUUAUGCAUCCCCAUUCCGGAUCCAUCUGAUGGUAUCUAACAAACAUCCGAGUUUCGAACGAGCGUGUCCCUCGAUUCGAUCCCCCCUGCGUGUUCACAAUGUCCAAUUUGUCCGCCCCUUUUUAUCAUUUCCCCGUUACCACUCUAAUCCUCCACCUGUACCGUUUUUCAGCGGAUCCCUUGAUCGGUGAAUCGCGGUAUCAGAUGGGCGGGGGACACAUUAGUUAGCGGUAACAAGCGCGGCGAACAACUGCGUUACAACAUAGCCAGGCCGUGUUCUACACAACCAUAAAAUACGUGUCACAACCGUGCCACCGUGUAAGCCUGUUCCUAACCUCUCCGCCUGCACACGUGGCCGCGAACAAAUAACGGGAGAACUCGUUUAUUAUUCCGCGAACGAUGCGAAAAAUCAUCCCUUUUUUUCUUCCCUUCCCUCCCUUGAAAUGUUUCCUUUCGGAUCGUUGGAAAUUGCAUUUUCCAAUUUCGAGAGUGCUUUGUCAUCUUUCGUUCUUCUUUUUCUUUUCAUUCUUCUCACGGACGUCGGUGAAGAAUGCGAAAAGUUAUGAGUUGAAGAGUGAAAUUGAGAAGUUUCGACGUGUUUUUCGAUGUAUAUAUAUAGUUUAUAAAGUUCAACGCAGGAUGAGAGAAUCUAUGGUCUUCGAUUUCCAAACGAACGAGACACGAGAAUCUAUGUAUUUUGUUUACCAACGUUGGAGAGGGGAGACGUGUGAAUCUACGUCUUUAGUUUUUAUUCCGUCGCGCGAUGUUUACUUUUCGAUUCUCUCCGGGGACGCCGAGGCUUACGGUUGUUCGACGAGCACGUUUCUUGAAGAAAGCGUGAUUCGAUGAAAGAGCAUGGAAUCCUGGAAUUUUGUGAAAUUGUGCGUUUGUAUAUACGAAUGCAUAAAUGAAGCAUUGUUUUGGAAAAAUUAAUGUCGUUUCAUUUGGUAAAUUCAUUGCAGACAAACGUUUGUUAAUGGUGUGUGGCAAGAGGGGAAAAUAAAAGAGCGGCGCAAUAUCAGGAAAUAUUUUUAACGUGCCAAUUAGAAUGAUAUUUACGAGAGCACGAUAUUAAAAAUGAAAUAAAGAUAUUUCAUUAUGUCGUAAAUAUAAUUACAUAUAUCUCACUUAUUGUUUAGGCUCAGUCUAAAUUCUAAUCUCUCGUGUAAAAUUAAAUAAAUUUUCUUUCAAUUCAAACUUUAAUUAUAAAAAUUGUUUUUAUACAUUUUUAUUAAAAAAUAUAUGAUAGAAAAUUAACAAGAAAAUCAUCGUCUAACCUCUACAUGAUUUCGAGCUAUUAAUUUAAAAUUUAUAAAAUUAAACGUAUCAUAUUCGAACCUAAUCUCUACACAUCCUUUGAAAAACAAAAUUUCAAAUUAUGAUUUUCAACGCUUUUCUUUUUUAGAAUGAGAAAAAGCACGGAGGAAAAGAGAAGACGACGAAAGAAUAGAUUCUUCUGGAAGAUUUUUCUUUUUUUAAAGAAAAAAAAAGGAACAAACAUCAAAUAAGUCUCAGUGGGGGAAAAAUUUUAAGAAACUUUCAUCGUUCUUUCUGAAUCUUGGCAGUUUAAGAAGAAUCCGUGGAAUUUCGCAGAGGAAAUUUCCGGCCACGAACUGCCUUCUCACCGGCAACUUUAAUGGUGGAUAAUAAGAGAAGGAAACGGAUUAGCGUAGUGGUCAUGUUCGUGAAUGACACGUGAUAAAUUCUGAUUUUCGUUUCGGCGAAACACGAGGGGUUAACGGUAUGGAACAUGGGGCAAAGUCUAUCCUCCAUCGGUGCACGUGAACGCAUUUUCAUCAAAUGCAAAACAUACGUUAUAUUCUGGUACCUUGUUAACAGGCCAACAACGCUAUUUUCCAACAUUUUCCUCCACUGGUUAUAUUGUAUACAACCAACAUGGCUGGAUCGAAACAGCACGAAUUCUUACACGAUGUUUUAGAAUCGAUCAGUAUAAUUAAAAAUAUCCUUAAAAUCUGUAUUGGGAUUUUUUGUAAUAGAAUAAGAAAAUAUCAUGCAAGCAUGAAGAAUUCGAGCUUUGUUCUAAUUCCAUCUAUUAAUUCAAGAAGUACUUUUUGAAAUUUAUCUUGUUGUAUGCUGACGACCAUUUUUAUCCAAAUAACAAAAGAACUCGAAUAACAAAGGAACAAUUUAAAUCCUCAAAAUUUGCGAGAAGAUUAUUAGUUAACGAAUAGAAAGUUUUAAAAAUAUUUUACGUAAUUGAUUAAAAGGAAAUCUUAUUUCCAGAAUCAUAAAACAACUUUCCUUAUAUAAAUUUUGCAACAAUAAAGCAUCUCUCUAAUAUCUUCAUUCCUUAUUUAACUAUGGGCGUAAUCCAACGUCUCUCGUUUCGUGAAAACGUAUUCCGCCAAAAUGAAGCCUAGUAAACUAUUCCCCUUCGUGAUAAACCCAGUCUUAGAAAAUAGCUACUGCAGGGAUCAGAAGCACACGUCCCAAGGAUAAUAAUUCCAAAGGAAUAAGGAUUAACAUCGUAUUAGCUCCUCUUAAAUAAACGAUAGCGCUUAAGACGUAUUCGAAACAAGCAAAAGUUAACUUUCAAAUCUAUAAUUGUUAUAGAUGAGUAAAAUUAUUAUAUUAUUAUCAUGAAAUUUUGACAAAUAUUUUGGAAGAAAUAUCGAAGAAAAUCAAUUAUUCUCAAUAAAGAAGAAACGAAGAAAAAUAUAUAAUUAGAAUAACAGGAAAAUAAUGAAAAAAGUAUGUGUAUAAAGUAUAUAUGCAAUAACUCCAACUUUGAUUCAUAUGUAACAAAGAUAUAUAAAUAAUAACUUCAAUCUGUCUCGUCCAGCGUGGCACAGCGUGAUAAAGGCGCAUACAUGAUAACUUCUCUCAUUUGCAUGCAAGAUAAACGUGAAAGAAAAUCAUAGAUUAACGUUGUAAAAGUGGAAAAUAUACGUUUUGAAUUAUUAAAAUUUAAAAUUUAAUCAAGUUUACAACAAAAUCCUGGCCACCCGGUUUCAAUAAAAAUGUUAAACUUCGUCUCUCGAUAAAACAACGUUCCCCCAUAAACCAUUCAGGUUCAAAAUCGCUUACCUACACGCCACCCCGCAUAAUAGAGGCGAGAGCAUAAAACUAAACCGAACGAAGUCACCGAAGUCGAGUGCACUCUGGCAAAGGAUACAUAUAGAAGGAUCCACCAUAUAUAUAUCCGCUCUAAGUUUGGAGGCUGAGCUGUGCAGGUGGAGGGCGGCACGAAGAUAGCUUAAAUUCAUUAACCGUCCCAUUGAAUCGGCAGCAGGAAGGCUUGCACCGCUCUUAACGCCAAUGGAAUUGUUAAUCCUCUGGUAGGUCAUCGCGAUCGAGCACGCAUGCGCAACACGCGCCAUCCUCCAUGUCGAUGUGUUAACGAUCGCAAUAACAAUUACCGUUUCAGUUAUGCCCUCCCUCGCUCCCCAUAUUGUUCCCGAGCGAUGAUUACUGAUUGCUUCCACGGGGUGAAAAUAUCGAAAUCCUACGAUUACCAGGCUUUCUUGCAACCCCCGUUUCCCUCCUCCCUCUCCCCGUGUAAAUUGUAAUCGGGGAUAUGCGCGCGCCGCAGAUCCGUGUGGAUCAUUCCAGAUACGUGAUACACCGUUAACACGUGACGUGGACCGCGUUAUGGAUUUCCAUGUGGCCGUAACGGGGAUGAAGAUAGCGUGUAUGGCCAGGCUGGAGCUGUUCUUUUACAUGGUAAUGCGUACAGCCCCGCUUGAUAAUUGUUGUUCUUUAUUCAAAAGUUCCUCUCGUGCAUUGUUUCUGUGAUAAUCUCUUACAAAAAAAUUUCUGGUAUCUAGAAAAUUCUUUCCUUCUUUUUUUUUUUGUUCUUUAGGAUGCAAGGUCUUUUUAAAUGUUAAUAUUCUGUUGUAUCUCGAAAAGAGAUGUAAAGAAAAGGUUCUUGGAAAAGAGAUUUAAUAAUUAAAUUGCGAAAGCGAAUGUUGAAAACACUGUUUUGUUAUUAUGAUAAUCGAAUAAUCUUUCAAUAAGAGGAGAAAUGAAAUAGAAAUUAAAUUAAACAAAAUUGAUACCGCGUUGUAAUCUCAAAACAAACGUUUUCCAAAAGUAUCAAAAUAAACGGGGGGUUAUUAACCAAAUUGCAAACAAUCCCUGUAGCAAAACAAGCAGAAACAGAUCCACGCGAAAAAUAAAAAUAAAGAAAAAAAAAAAGAGGGAAUACGAAACCCGAGUUUCAUUAAAAUAUCCGUACUUCCAAAUAUACGUACGGCCGCCACAAUCAUCCGCAAAACAAUACACACCACUUCCCCGUAAUUAAAAUUGCGGCCCUGCCCUACCAGAUAGCGGAACGCUCAUCAACGAGGCCAAUUUAUCGCCGGCGUUCAUUGAAAAUUCAAAUCGGCUUUUCGCUAAGCCCGUAAAAUCGUGGCAACUGUGCCGUCUUAUUAUUCAAAUCAUUAUUUACACCGAGGAAUCUCUUCCAACCGACUCGUAAAACUCGACGAUAUAAUAGUCGGAUCGGAGAGAAAUCCGUAACAGUCCCUGGAAAACUGGUUUCGCGAGCAUCGCAAUUUUAAGAGGGGAGGGAAUAUAGGCCGGCGCCAAUAAGCAUUUACAAUAAUACAUCCGGACGCGUUCGCUAUUCGGGGAGCAAUAUCUGGCCCUAUCUACAGUAUCAGAAUUAGGCAGAGCCUAGGAAACGGUAACUUUCAAUAUGGGACCGAAGCUCAAGUUUGCACAGAGGAUAAAGCUGUUGGGGCGUAACUGAUUCGAUGUAACUUGCCGUGAUGUAACGCAAUUUCCGAGCGGCGAAUUAUACGAAGCGUGGAACAAAGGACAGACUUGGAAACAGACAACGGUUGAUUCGGGGAGGGGAGGAGGCCAUUUCUGCCAUUGGAUUCUGGAUGGACCGACGAUAUUUUUAUUAAAAAAUUUUAUCCCGUAACGCGCGAAUGGAAAAAGAAGAUGGAAAGAGUUGCAGAGGCAUGAAAGAAUUAUAUUCAUUAUCGAAAUUUUUGUCGAACGGAACAUUAAUGGAAUCAAUUUGUAUUGUUUUUUCUCGAAAUUGAUAAGUUUUUGAAACAAUGACACAGGAGAUUGUAUAUAUUUGUUAUUCGAGAGACGAAAAUGAGCUUGAGUUUUUUAAAUGGAAAGGAAUGAAUAAAUUGUUUAAUUAAAUUUCAUAAUUGGAAGGUUGUACGUAAAACGCUAUCAGGAAUAUUAAAAGAGGCCAACGAUAUAUUAUUGUAAUAAAAAUUAAUUAUUAAUAAUAAUUAUGAAAGUAAUUUUUUAAUUUCGAGUUUCCUAAAAAGAAUAAAUUUUCUUUGAGUGUUCGGAAAUGCAGAAAAAAAAGCUUGAAGGAUACGAGGAAAAAAUUAUGGAAAAAGCUGUGCUACUUGGUAAACGAUAUACGUGUAUUGAAUAUCAAAACAUGAAAUGAAACGUGGAUGAUGAAAGUGCAUGUGGAAUUGUAUCUUAUGAAGAGCGAAAUGUAACUCGUCGUUGAUGAAGUCGAGAUCUAAGUACAGCUAACGAAGACGGAACGUAAUUUCGCUUUAUGAAAUGUUACUGUAUUUUAUGAAAACUUUAACCUAGUUCCCUCAUGUUCUACAUUAUACUUGAAACGGUAAAUAUAAAUUUGGAAAAAAAUAUCGACAUAACUUCAAAUUGUUUUCAACAAAAUUUAAUUUGA